rnacentral:rRNA from 1 species
CCGCCUGGGAACACCGCGUGAUGUUGGCUU